rnacentral:ncRNA from 2 species
AUUUUGUCAGGCACAGCUGACUAACCUUUCUCAUGCAGGUAUGUUCUGGGCGGAGGGGCCAUCUGCAUGGAACUUCUCACCAAACAGGGCUGGAGCAGUGCCUACUCCAUAGAGUCAGUGAUCAUGCAGAUCAGUGCCACACUGGUGAAGGGGAAAGCACGAGUGCAGUUUGGAGCCAACAAAUCUCAAUACAGUCUGACAAGAGCACAGCAGUCCUACAAGUCCUUGGUGCAGA